rnacentral:lncRNA from 1 species
GGGGAGGUGUCAGAAGCAGCCGUUAACGGGUUGGUGCAGUUAGUUCUACAAAGGAUUAUCCAGUCUGGGAGUAACUAUGACCACAGGCACACGGCACACGGGCUGCCCUUGUCCAGAGGCAGCACCAGCACUGCUGCUAGGCUCAGCUGUGCCCUUCAGAACCGUCUCAGAGUGGCAGAGGGCAUCGUGGCCCCUCCUCACAGAGCACCGCCUGCACCCUGCGGUGUGACACCCAAACCGGCUGCUGUAAGGCACGUGGUGGGACGUUGACUGGCGUGGUGCUGAAGAGACUCAACGGAGAAAUCCAAACACCCCUCUGUGAAGUGUUUCUGGAGCUUAUCCCCUUAGUCUCCUCUAAGUUCUUUGCUGUUGCCCAGCCAACACCUGAGGGAUCACAAACGAACCUGGGAGCGAAACUCAAAAUCCAGAGGAAGAGGUUGCAAUCUACAGGAAGCUGAAGAGUACCUUUACCACUAGAUUAAAGGGAUGG